rnacentral:lncRNA from 1 species
UGUUGCUUUGUGUGAGGUGUGAGGGAGUGGUUGGGUGGCGUGACGCUUCAGCCACAGUUUCGUCGUAUGUGCUGUGAACCAGUACAUCAAAUGUGCUGUGAACCAGUGUACCAUUCAAUGUAAAACAUGUUUUAGUGCUGAAACGUCACGGCACGCUUGGGGAUAGAGCCAUCAGUCGUUCUGAAGUAGUAAUGUGAAUGGACUGAAAUGGUAGUUGUGAAUGGAAGACUUGUUGUAAAGGCGUUACACUUAGUUAUUCAUAACGACUACGAGUAUGUUGUGAUAGGGAAGUGGAGUGGAAAGGACGAAAAUGAUGGAUAUGUGGAAUAAAAGUGAGAAUGGACUAAGAGGUUCACGAGUGAGUUGAGGCAGUGGAAGAGUUUUAAAGCCCCCCCCCAUUCACGCAAGUCUUUAGCAAUGGUAGGUUUAUGGUAUGGUCAACUGCGCAAACCUAUACCCGUGUGGGUAGGCCACUCACGUUACAUUCUUUGGCUCAGUUUUUCUCAUUUUGAAUUUGAAAGAUGUCGGUUUUUCAUCUGACGAUUUAGUAAAUGUAGCGCUGGCACUUACAUUACAAAGAAAAAAAAAUAAAGAUGGUGCAAGCCAUGGCUUUUGAAGAGGGAUAGCUUAUCGCAUGAAGGAUUGUUAAAUGAACUUCGUUUGGAACAUGUCGAUUAUUUCAAUUACUUGCGAGUGGAUGAGCGAACCUACUCUAGAGUUCCUUUAGUCAAAACUGAGCAAAGGUGAUGAAAACACCCGCUCACGGUUAUGGUCUGGGUUAUGGUACAGCCACAAGCCGCGAAAAUAUCAAGCACGUUGGAUAUUAUGUUAUGGUUCUGUUCAACUGCGCAAACCAAAAAAAUACCCAGUCACGCUACAUUAACUGCCCAAUUAUACUGAACCAUACUUGAACCGUAGCUAUUUUACGUUGCGUAUAUGGGGGGGCUUAAGACAAUGUGGCGUGUUAGAUGAGAUAGUGAAAAGAUAAUGCUGUUUUGUUCAUAUGUUUUUUGUCCAUUACAGGUGUUGACGAUCCAAAGGCCUGACUCGCAGCGAAAAUGCGGCCCCUCUAGUAUCAAGGAGAGAUUCUACCUUGCACUACGCCUUCACCGACAACGCCCACUGUCAACACCUCUGCCUCGCCGACCCAACAUCAGGGAAGGACUGUCUUGCAUCGCGCCCACACACUACGUACUCUUAACGCCGCCGCUGAGUGGGUGAUAGCCAGGCAGGUGUGGUGCGGAGGCGGAUUGGUGACGAGAACUAUAUAGUAGGUGACAGCAGGGAAGAUUUCACUAACCAGGCAUUGGCGAUCCAAGGCCUGAGUGCAGCGAUCCCUAGACUCCUGCACCAUCAGGGAAGGACUCCGGCUUCGCAUGGCCUUCACUUGACCCAACGCCACCAUCGUCGCCGCUGAGACUGCCUCGCAGCGCACCCCAGCGGCCCAGCAAACGCCUACCACCACCACCGCCGUCGUCCAGCGAGAGAUUCGGCUUCGCAUCGCACAUAUUCUGCCACUCAACACCUGCCGCUGCCGUCCCCGCCGCGCCACCACCACCACCACCACCAGCAAGGAUUCUGCACGGCCAUCACGUACUGGUGGUGUUGGGGGGGCGGGGGGGGUGAGUUGCGGGUCGGCGUGGCAGUCGGUCUUCUCACUCAUUGUGGGUGGUGUAUGUACUUGGACUGGACAGGUGUGGUGGUGCCAUUAUUCCAUUGUAAUAAACUAGUUUGUCUUCACUGCCUCAUUGUGUUGUCACUGUACUAUGUAUGAGCUGUUGUCACUACUGAAUAAAUUGUGAAGAAA